UUUCUACUCCCUCCGUUCGGAAAUAUUUUUCAUAAGUAUAGAUGUAUCUAGAUGUAUGUUAAAUUUAGAUAUAUCUCUUUUUAUUUAUUUACACGACAAGUAAUUUCGAACAGAAGAAGUAUUUC
rnacentral:pre_miRNA from 1 species